GACGAACGCUGGCGGCGUGCUUAACACAUGCAAGUCGAACGGAAAGGCCCUGCUUUUGUGGGGUGCUCGAGUGGCGAACGGGUGAGUAACACGUGAGUAACCUGCCCUUGACUUUGGGAUAACUUCAGGAAACUGGGGCUAAUACCGGAUAGGAUCUCCUGCUGCAUGGUGGGGGUUGGAAAUUUUAGGCGGUUGGGGAUGGACUUGCGGCUUAUGGGUUUGUUGGUUGGGUAGUGGCUUACCAAGGCUUUGACGGGUAGCCGGCCUGGGAGGGUGACCGGCGACAUGAGGACUGCGAUACGGACCAGUCGGCAAUGGUAGGCAGCAGUGGGAAACCUGGCCCAAUGGGAGGAAGUCUGUUGAAGAAACGUCGCGGGCGGAAUGACGGCCUGCGGGGUGAAAAACGCUUUCGCUUGUGACGAAGCGUUAGUGACGGUAAUGGGUAAAGAAGCACCGGCUAACUACGUG
rnacentral:rRNA from 1 species